AAGGCGCAAUUUAUUAUUUGUAUUAUUUCCUUAAUAAAAUUCUAAAAAUAAAAAAUCAUACCAUAUUUCAAUUAUUACAAGAAUAUUUAAAUAAUAGAAAAAAGGCAAACGCUAUUAAAAACAUUAAACUGAAAGAAAAAAAAUACAAACCAAACAAAAUAUAAAUUGACAUCAAACUUAAAACACAAAACAGAAUGGAACCUCAGAAACCGCCAUCACCACUAAAAUGAGCGCCUCCAUCGUGACCAACGGUAUGAUGAUGAAGAUGAUGGCCUGUGGUAUCAUGACUACCAUGAUGAUGAGCUGUGGUAUCAUGAGUUCCAUGAUUAUGAUCUGUAGUGGUACCAUGAGUUUCAUCACAAGUUUUGGUUGGAGCAGCAGCAGCAGCACCUGCUGUCAUAAUAUCAUUGGGCUUGUAUUUGUUAUCAUCUCCUUCCUUUCUAGCUCGGAAGCAAAAACUCCCCAUGUUUGCUUUCUUUUCGAUGUUAGUGCCUUUGUGUCUCACAUUCCUUAUCGAUCCUUUAUGUAGGCAAAAGUCAGGGGCCCCAACUUUCCACGAAACUGCUGAAAAUUUAUAUGCAAUUCAUAUACGCCUUCUAUGUUUCUCAAUGAUACUCUAGCAAUAACGGUGUGAAUAAGCUUUUGUCGAUAAACUUGAUUAUUUAAAUGUUCAAUUAAAUUCAUUUUUUUUAUAGAGCAUGUAUACACCGGUGGAAAUAAUUUUUUUCAGACUAGAUAUCAUUAUUAUAAAUGGUAAAUUUUUUCAAUCAAAUAUUUAAUAUAAUUACAUAUUUUAAUUUUAAUAUGAGAUCUCUAAUUAAGAUCGAAUAAUUUUGAUUUAUUAAUAUAUAAUUAAAUAUAUGAGUCCAAUACAUAAACUAGUUAAAUUCUAGAUUAUUUUUUCUUGUUUGAAAAAAGAACUUAUAGUUUGACAUUAAAAACCUAUAAAUGGCUAUACAAUAAUAAAAUAAUUAAUUUUAUACUGUAUAAAAGAGAUAUACUUAAUUACUAAUUUGUAAUUUUAUCAUUUUUUUAUGUAUGAAUUGAAGACGAUGUUAGGAUUUAUAAUAUUUAUAUGAUGUUAAAUUAAUUAAGUUAAUCUUCCUUAGUAAUUAUAAGAUUUAAUUACUCUUUUGAUUCAACAAUUUUUUUAACUCCUAUCAUUUAUAUUUUAAUUUUAUAGUUUGAAAGUAAUUUUUUAUUCUUUAUAUUUUAAUUUUUUUUAGUUCUUAUAGUUUGAAAGAAAUUUUUUUAGUCCUAUACUUUAUAUUUUAAUUUUCUUUUAGUCCUUACCAUCAAAAUAUAAAUAAUAUUAUCAAUUACAAUUAACUACAAAAAUAUUAAUAAGUAAUGUGUAACUAAUUUAUCAAGAUAAUUUAUAAUAAUAAAAUAAUUGAUAAUUUAUAGCUAAUUAUAUAUAUAUAUAUAUAUAUAUAUAUAUAUAUAUAUUAAUUAUAGAAAGUACUAAAAGAUAAUUAAAAUACAGAUUAUAGAAACUAAAAAAUCAUUUUCAAAUCAUAAAAACUAAAAGAGAAUUAAAAUACAAACUACAAGAACUAAAAAAAAUCAAUUUUAAACUAUAGGAAUUAAACAACGUAAUAAGAAGUAGGCAAAAGUACAAAAAUAUAAUAAAAGCAAAAGAAAGUAAAUAAAAGUAGGCAAAGAGUACAAAAAUAUAAUAUAAAUCAGUCCAUUUUAUUGAAUCAGGAUGCAUUUUUGCUUGGUGAAAUCCUGAUUUUAAAUCGAAUUUUGAAAACCGUUUAGCUUUCUGUAUCCUAUUUAUCAACACAUCUUUAGAGGGGAUAGUAUAUCCAUCUAUGUGGGUGUUAUUGUUAAGCCUUUUGUAAUUAUAGACCAUUCUAGUCUUUCCUCCUUUUUGUUCUGAGUGUUUAUUAACAAUAAAAGCAGGGCUUCUAUGAGGACUAGUACUAGGUGAUAUAACUUUUAGAUCUAAUAGGGUUUUUAUGUGGCUUUUACAUUUCUGUUGUUCGAAAUUCCCAUACUGAAUAUCUUUGGUUUUAAUUAUCAGAUCUAGGUUUAUGAUUUCUAAUUUGCAUAUAACUGGAUCUUUUUCCCAAUAUUUUGUAGGGUCUUCUCCUAUUAUGCUAGUUUUAUUCAAUCCAUCUAUAAUUUGUUGUAUAUUAUCAAAGGUUAUAAUUUUGUUAAUUUUGACAGAUUUGUAAUCAGAUUCUGCUACAGCUAACUCAUAUUGUAGCUCUGUUUCUAUUUUUAUGCUUUCUAAAAUACUUUCAUAGUAAGAAUCAUGGGAUGUGUCGUAUGUUUCUAUAGUGUUUAUAUUGCCAUGAUUUUUUUAUUCUUUUAUUUUACAACUACCGGGUGUAUCACAAGGACAUUGUUUAUCAUUGGUGGGAGCAUCACCACGCUUUGUUCGUAACUCUGAUGUGAUUUCAUCUAUUAUAGGUGACAUUUGUGAGUUCGUAGAGAUUAAUAGGUAAUCUUUUGUAAUAGUAAUUGAUCUAUUAUUAUGUAUAAUAAAAUCAAGUCCUAAAAUCAUUUUUUCUUUAGCAGGUCGUAAGUCUACCACAUCUGCUUUAUUUAUAAAAAUUUUAUUACCAAAAAUUUCACAAUUUGUGGAUAAUUGAAUAGUGAAAUUUCGUGUUUCUGUAUCAUUUGUUAUUAUGUCUCCAGACAUUGUUCUAGUUUUGGUUAUUAUAUUACUUUUGAAACAAUUGUGCUUGGGCACAACACUUUGGCAUAUAGAAGUAAAAGAACAACCAGUAUCUACCAAGGCUUGCAGAAUUAUUUCGGUUUGGUUAAAUUUAUUUAUUUUAGGAAAAUUUAUUUUGACUAAAAUGUGUAGGCUUUUGUUUUUCUCUUUAUUACAAAUUAUAGGAAUGCAAUCUUUGUUUUGUAAUGCCAUAAGUCCACUAGUAUGUUCUUCAUAAAAGUUUGGAUUUUUUUCUUUUUCGAAAUUUUCAUAAAGAAAAUCUACCGUCUUUUCUAUUUGGUUUAAACUGAUCUCUAGAGUGGAGAUCCGAUUAUUCAUAAUUUUAUUUCCAGAAUCAUUUUCUUUCUUUGAAUAAGGAAAUUCUAUUUUCAAGAUAGUUUGUGCGCAAGUUUUGCAGAAGUUUUUGUAGCAUAAGCUACAGUGAACUCUUAACGUUUUAUGGGGAUAUCUUUUACAGAAGUGACAUUCUUUAUGAUCUGGUCCUAUGUGGAAUUGUAUUUCACGUUCACAGUCAUUUCAUUAGAGCCUCUAACUCUAGAAAACCUACUCUCAAAAAAGAGAGACAUGUUAGAAAACUUAGGGAUAAUAAAACAUACACAAAGCUAUUGGAAUGUAAUGCUUCUCACCAACCAGGACAUUACUCAACGGAUUGUCCAAAUAAAACCAAUUUGUUCACAAGAGAAGCAGAACUGAUAAAAAGUUGUAGAAUGAAUCUUAUCCCCAUAGAUUAAACAGUCUCUACAGACUCAGAAAUAUAUUCAAUAGUUAGGUUGUCUGACUAUACAUCUGGAGAUGAAGAGCCUAACAAAGAUUAUAAAAUUUUAAACGAAUUCACAAAAAAUGAAUAUACAAAUCUAUACCCAGUAGAUGAUAAAUACAAUCAGUAUGGAGAAAUCCUUGAUGAUUUGGGAUACAGUUUAAUGUUCAAAACAGAAUUAAAUGACUGUGAACAUGAAAUACAAUUCCACAUAGGACCAGAUCAUAAAGAAUGUCACUUCUGUAAAAGAUAUCCCCAUAAAACGUUAAGAGCUCACUGUAGCUUAUGCUACAAAAAACUUCUGCAAAACUUGCGUACAAACUAUCCUGAAAAUAGAAUUUCUUGAUUCAAAGAAAGAAAAUGAUUCUGGAAAUAAAAUUAUGAAUAAUCGGAACUCCACUCUAGAGAUCAGGUUAAACCAAAUAGAAAAGACGGUAGAUUUUCUUUAUGAAAAUUUCGAAAAAGAAAAAAAUCUAAACUUUUCUGAAGAACAUACUAGUGGACUUAUGGCAUUACAAAACAAAGAUUGCAUUCCUAUAAUUUGUAAUAAAGAGAAAAACAAAAGCCUACACAUUUUAGUCAAAAUAAAUUUUCCUAAAAUAAAUAAAUUUAACCAAACCGAAAUAAUUCUGCAAGCCUUGGUAGAUACUGGUUGUUCUUUUACUUCUAUAUGCCAAAGUGUUGUGCCCAAGCACAAUUGUUUCAAAAGUAAUAUAAUAACCAAAACUAGAACAAUGUCUGGAGACAUAAUAACAAAUGAUACAGAAACACGAAAUUUCACUAUUCAAUUAUCCACAAAUUGUGAAAUUUUUUGUAAUAAAAUUUUUAUAAAUAAAGCAGAUGUGGUAGACUUACGACCUGCUAAAGAAAAAAUGAUUUUAGGACUUGAUUUUAUUAUACAUAAUAAUAGAUCAAUUACUAUUACAAAAGAUUACCGAUUAAUCUCUACGAACUCACAAAUGUCACCUAUAAUAGAUAAAAUCACAUCAGAGUUACGAACAAAGCGUGGUGAUGCCCCCACCAAUGAUAAACAAUGUCCUUGUGAUACACCCGGUAGUUGUAAAAUAAAAGAAUAAAAAAAUCAUGGCAAUAUAAACACUAUAGAAACAUACGACACAUCCCAUGAUUCUUACUAUGAAAGUAUUUUAGAAAGCAUAAAAACAGAAACAGAGCUACAAUAUGAGUUAGCUGUAGCAGAAUCUGAUUACAAAUCUGUCAAAAUUAACAAAAUUAUAACCUUUGAUAAUAUACAACAAAUUAUAGAUGGAUUGAAUAAAACUAGCAUAAUAGGAGAAGACCCUACAAAAUAUUGGGAAAAAGAUCCAGUUAUAUGCAAAUUAGAAAUCAUAAACCUAGAUCUGAUAAUUAAAACCAAAGAUAUUCAGUAUGGGAAUUUCGAACAACAGGAAUGUAAAAGCCACAUAAAAACCCUAUUAGAUCUAAAAGUUAUAUCACCUAGUACUAGUCCUCAUAGAAGCCCUGCUUUUGUUGUUAAUAAACACUCAGAACAAAAAGGAGGAAAGACUAGAAUGGUCUAUAAUUACAAAAGGCUUAACAAUAACACCCACAUAGAUGGAUAUACUAUCCCCUCUAAAGAUGUGUUGAUAAAUAGGAUACAGAAAGCUAAACGGUUUUCAAAAUUCGAUUUAAAAUCAGGAUUUCACCAAGUAAAAAUGCAUCCUGAUUCAAUAAAAUGGACUGCUUUUUCUUGUUCAGAAAGAUUAUUUGAAUGGAAAGUAAUGUCGUUUGGACUAAAAAAUGCGCCACAAAUUUUUCAAAGAAAAAUGGAUAAGAUUUUUGGAAAUUAUAAAGAAUUCACUUGUACGUAUAUAGAUGACGUACUUGUCUUUUCAAAAACUAAAGAAGAACAUUAUUUGCAUCUCAAACAAGUUCUUCAUUUAUUUGAAAAAUUUGGGUUGCUUAUUUCAAAAUCAAAAAUGGAAAUUUGUAAAACACAUAUUUCCUUUUUAGGAACAGAAAUAGGAAACGGAAAGAUAAGGCUACAACCUCAUAUCUCCCAAAAAAUUCUUAGUUUCCUAGAUAAAAUGAAAGAUAUAAAAACCCUGAGAGCUUUUCUAGGCCUGCUUAAUUAUGCAAGAAAUUCCAUCAAAGACCUGGGAAAAUAUACAACCCCUCUUUAUAACAAAACAUCUUUGACUGGACAAAGAAAAUUCAAUACUGAAGAUAUAAAGUUAGUUCAGAAGAUUAAAGAAAUGGUUAAUAACUUGCCAUAUCUAUAUUUACCAUUAGAUUCUGAUUAUCUAGUUAUAGAAUGUGAUGGGUGUGAACAAGGAUGGGGAGCCAUCCUAAAGAAAAAGAAAAAUAAAUAUGAAAAGAUUCAUGACGAAGAAAUUUGCAGAUAUGCCUCAGGAAAAUAUCAUACAAAACCUCAGGUAUACUCAACAUCUACAGACUAUGAAGUAAAUGUUGUAAUAAAUUCUUUAGAAUGAUUCAAACUCUUCUUAAUUAAUAAAAGCGAAAUCACCAUAAGAACAGAUUGUGAAGCAAUAGUAGCUUAUGGUAGUCAACAAAUAAAUAUUGAUAAAAAACCCCACAAAAGAUGGCUUUUAUUCUAAGAAUAUGUAUAUCAUAAUGGAAUAAAAAUAAAUUUUGAACACAUAAAAGGAGUAAAAAAUGUUGCUGCUGAUAUUCUCCCUCGUUUUGCAGGAAUGCAACAAAAUGCAGCCUUGUAAGGUUUCCUACCAAAACAUAAAGUAGAAGAUGAAGUUCGGUAAUCAAGAAUUGUCGGUACUUACAAAUGAGUUUCACUACCCUGGUAGAGAAGCUGUUAAUGACAAAUUCAAUUGUCUCAUUGACAAUAUUUGGAAUAUUACAAAAAAUACAAAUAAUAAUGAGCAGUUUGUUUGUUCAGUAAAAAAGGGCAUCAUCUGUGCUCUAUACAAUUUCUGCAUUGUAGAUAACCAAGGAGUUCCUCUUCUCACAAAAGCCUCUCCUUCUGGAAAAGGUUAUACAGCUUUUGUCCUGUUAUCAGGACCGCAUAAAGGUGUUUAUACCAAUUUUAAAGACCUUUGCCUUGCAAAGGAGGGUAUUCAAAGCCCAAUCUAUAAAGGUUUCUAUUCAAGGGAAGAAGCAGAAAAAGCCCUUGAAUUAAAUACCACAGACAUUAAUAAAAUUAAAAGGUCUCUUGAACCAGAAAACCCGACCAUAAUCAUAAACGAUGGCCAAACCAAGACUAGCCAAAAGACCUAUAGAGACACAGUCAGCCCAAAUGUCCCAGGCUCAACAAAUGACCUAAACUUAGACAAUUUUAAGAAAAUACAAAGUUUAUUGUUUAAGGUACACAAUAACCAAAUCCAAAUUCCGGGACUCUACAUAGGUGUACAUGCUUAUUUUAACCAAAAAUUUGUAUGUAUCAAUAAAACCCCACACUGCCAAGACAAAACCAAUUGUCCUUGCAAGAUAAGAUUCCUCUUUAGAAAAGCCAGACUAGACAUGGACCAGUUUAAGUCCUUCGGAUAUGAAGACUUAGCGAUUUCCGCAAAAAGUCUAUUAGACUAUGGAUGUUUGAAAUUAAUCCUGAUUCCUCCAUCUGAUAUAUUCGAGGGAUUUAAUCCCUCAAUCAAUGAGGCCAUAAACUUAAUACAGACAGAAAUGAUGGAUUACAUCGCCAUCAAGAUAACAAACUGUCUGAGCAAUUUCACUGCUCAGAAUUAUCCUUGCCAUGUUAUAAAACUCUUACUCGAGGAUCAUAGAGAUUAUCCCUGCCUAUUCAAUGAUGAAUAUGAAAGCUGGGAUGUACAAGGUAAUACACAAUACCAAUAUAGCCUUAUGAGGACAGAAAUUCAGGGCUAUCAAUGAUUCUUCCCAGAAGAGGACAAACGUGAGUUUGACCUGAUAAAAGAAACUCGUGACACAAAACUUUUCCUGCAAUAAAAGAAAUUCAGGGCUAUCAUACCCAAUAGUGAGAGAGAGAAACUUAGAAAGAGAAGCUUGUAAUAGUUGUCUGUGCAAUAAUAUCAAGUUCUUUUCUGCAUCUUUCCCCCUCUACCCCAAAAAUUUUCCCCGAUAAACUGUAAGUACGAAUCUCACUAUGUCUGGCUAAUUCUUGUGAAGGCACCCUCAAAGGGCCUUAGUUAUCUCUAUUUGGAAAAUGCGAAUAUGAUUUAGAACUCCGCUGCUUGUAAAUAGUAUUUUUUUUUUCCUUUUUGCUUGUUUUUCGAAAACCUGGGAUUGGUAAGCUUGCAAAUGUGUGCCCUUGAUAAAUGUUUUUUUGAAAAACUAUGAAAGUCCUUUUUGGUUAGGCUGGUGCUUGGAGGAAAAUAAGAUUUACAUAAGACCCAAAAGUAAGUGUGGGCAGUUCGCGAUCUUCAGUACUCAACUUAAUAUCCAAAAAGUUGAUAAGGACGUGGUUAUUAAAAAAAAAAGGUUCAUCAUAUUUUAUAUUUUUCCAAAUAAGAUAACUUAUAGUGUCCACUUGGGGAUUGCCCUCUAUCCAUCUAAUUUGAUUUUUUCUUUCCGCAUAUCGCUUACUCUUAACUGCUAUUAGUUUUAGUUUUCAAAUAUAAUAUAAAUCUAACUAGGAGGCUUUGCCACCUUUGCUGAUGUAUAUUAUAUUUUUGUACUCUUUGCCUACUUUUAUUUACUUUCUUUUGCUUUUAUUAUAUUUUUGUACUUUUGCCUACUUCUUAUUAGGUUGUUUUAUUAUUUUGUAUUUUUAUAGGUUCUCAAGAGAAAUAAAAUACAAACUACAAGAACUAAAAAAAAAUCAAUUUUAAACUGUAGGAAUUAAAAGAAAAUUAAAAUAUAAAUUAUAAAAAUUAAAAAGACUAAUUUCAAACUAUGGAAACUAAAAUUUACAAAUUAUAAAAUUAUAGAGACCAAAUAAUUAAUUAAAUAUAAUUAUAAUGUGAUUGUUAAAAACUAUCUCAAAACUUGUAUGUUUAAAUAUUUUAUUUUAUUUUCCAACAUACUUUUAUAUCAACUUCUAAUACGAAAAUUAAUAAUAAGACAAAAGUAUAAGUUUUUUUAAAGCCAACAAACUUAACUAUUUCAUUUCAUUGAGAAGAGUAGCAGACAAAACUGAGUUUAUUGAAACAUCUCACGAUGAAGCCAAUCUCACGAUGUACACACGGUUUCUGAAAAUGUAUAAACCAUGGAAAAGUUGCACUGAUAUAAUAAUGUAUGAAGGUGAACUGCAUUAAUACUCGGUCAUUAAUGACGGACCAUUAAAGAUUAUUCUUUUCAAUUAUUCUUUUUUUUUAAAUUUCAAUUUGGAAAGAAUAGUGAGUUAGGGGCACCUUGGUUAUGCGAUUACCAUAUGUCUAGGAUGGAUUUGGAACAAAUCAAACCAAACAAGAACCAGAAUAUUUGGAAGAAUAUUCUAGCGUGUCUAGGAUGGAUUUGGAACAAAUCAAACCAAACAAGAACCAGUCUAUUUGGAACAACUAAUUAAUUUUUAUUUUAAAUUUUUUUUUAUCAAUGGUUGUUCUCAGUUUUUAAUUGAUAUCACAUAAAAAAAAAAGCAUGAAAUUGGCAUAAUAUUUGCUCAAGCCGUGAGAGAGAGGUUACUGUAAUGAAAGAAUAAAGAUGAAGAGUCUUAGAGAUACUGAAUCUGAAUUCUUUUCAACUAACAUUUAUAACAAAAGUUAAAAAAUUAACAUUAAUCAAUAAAAAAACUAUAUAUUAAAUAUAUAUUAAAAAUUUUAAAAUUUUAUAUAACAAUAUUAAUUAUUUUUUAAUAUAAGUGACUUGUUAAUUCAAUUGGUUAACACGUCAUACUCAGUCAUAAGGUAAAAGUCACAUUUUCUUGUAGUUAUUAGCAUAGCUUGCUAGGUUAUUACUACUUACAUAACUUAUUACUCAGAUGGACACUAUAAUGUAUUAACACAAAUAAGUUUUUAUGUCUAUAAUACAAAGAUGAAAUAGCUCUGACAAACGAAAACCAUGAACACUAUAAAGAAGAUACAUGGAUAUUACCUGAAGCACUGAUACCGAUCGUGGAAACGAGUAAAACGAUGAUCGUGGAAAUGAGAUUUUGGGAGAUAAUGAGUGAGGCGAAUAAGCAAUAAGAAGG
rnacentral:lncRNA from 1 species